rnacentral:tRNA from 2 species
AGAGGCGUAGUUCAAUGGUUAGAAUUCUGGUCUCCAAAACCAGCGAUAUAGGUUCGAGUCCUAUCGCCCCUG